rnacentral:rRNA from 1 species
GACGAACGCUGGCGGCGUGCUUAACACAUGCAAGUCGAGCGAGGAAGCACCUUCGGGUGUGAAUUAGCGGCGAACGGGUGAGGAACACGUGAAGAAUCUGCCUUCAACCCUGGGAUAACUCCGGGAAACCGGGGCUAAUACCGGAUAUGAGCCUUGAUCGCAUGAUCGGGGCUGGAAAGUUUUUCGGUUGAAGCUGACUUCGCGGCCUAUCAGCUUGUGGGUGAGGUAAGGGCUCACCAAGGCGACGACGGGUAGCCGGCCUGGGAGGGCGACCGGACACACUGGGACUGAGGCGCGGCCCAGACUCCUACGGGAGGCAGCAGUGGGGAAUAUUGGGCAAUGGAGGAAACUCUGACCCAGCGACGCCGCGUGGGGGAUGAAGGGCUUCGGGUUGUAAACCUCUUUCAGUAGGGAAGAAGCGAAAGUGACGGUACCUACAGAAGAAGCACCGGCUAACUAUGUGCCAGCAGCCGCAGUAA